rnacentral:rRNA from 1 species
AUACGUAGGGGGCGAGCGUUAUCCGGAUUUAUUGGGCGUAAAGCGUGUGUAGGCGGUUUGUUAAGUUUAAGAUUAAAGCCCGAGGCUUAACCUCGGUUCGUCUUAAAAACUGGCAGACUUGAGUGCAGUAGAGGCACGUGGAAUUUCUAGUGUAGCGGUUAAAUGCGUAGAUAUUAGAAGGAACACCAGUGGCGAAGGCGGCUUGCGGGGCUGUUACUGACGCUGAGACACGAAAGCGGGGGGAGCAAAUAGGAUUAGAUACCCUAGUAGUCCACGCCGUAAACGAUGAGUACUAAGUGUCGGGUAACCGGUGCUGAAGUUAACACAUUAAGUACUCCGCCUGAGUAGUACGGUCGCAAGGCUGAAACUCAAAUGAAUUGACGGGG